GAUGAACGCUGGCGGCGUGCCUAAUACAUGCAAGUCGAGCGAACGGACGAGAAGCUUGCUUCUCUGAUGUUAGCGGCGGACGGGUGAGUAACACGUGUAUAACCUACCUAUAAGACUGGGAUAACUUCGGGAAACCGGAGCUAAUACCGGAUGAUAUUUUGAACCGCAUGGUUCAAAAGUGAAAGACGGUCUUGCUGUCACUUAUAGCUGGAUCCGCGCUGCAUUAGCUAGUUGGUAAGGUAACGGCUUACCAAGGCAACGAUGCAUAGACGACCUGAGAGAGGGAUCGGCCACACUGGAACUGAGCCGCGGACAAGACUACUACGGGAGGCAGCAGUCGCGAAUCUUCCGCAAUGGGCGAAAGCAUGACGGAGCGACGCCGCGUGAGUGAUGAAGGUCUUCGGAUCGUAAAAAUCUGUUAUUAGGGAAGAACAUAUGUGUAAGUAAAUGUGCACAUCUUGACGGUAACUAAUCAGAAAGCCACGGCUAACUACGUG
rnacentral:rRNA from 1 species